AUCACUGUCGGUAGCAGCAACAUAAGCUUCAUUACUCAGUGACCUGGGCAUAGGGCUGGUUCUCUCUGGUUUCAAGGCGGGAAGACUGCCAGGACCACAAGCACUCCCAAGUGAAAGGCCGUGCUUGACGCACUUACCAUAGGAGUUGGAUGAUGUUUCAGAGCACAGAUGCCAGGAGUUUUCUUUUGUUUUCCUUUUAAUUUCAUCAUGCUUUUAAAACCAUUUUUCUUUCCACAGGCCCCUGUAAUGCGUUUGAAAAGAUCCAUUCUCCUGAGUCAUCCAAGAGGACGGAGAACACGGUGAGCUUUCAGCUGAACGGGAGACUGUCCCUCCUCUGCCUGCUCCUCUACAGUGUCCUCUACUGAGAUCACACCCGGAAUAAACCACUUGCGGUUGAAUGUGUGUCCAUGGGUUGGCUUCUAAGACACAGUUUCUGGAUGUGGACUCUAAAAGAAGAAGAUGAGCUGCUUUGUUAGGGCAUCAGGAAAGAUGGCUGAAAGUGUUCUCCAUUCCCCAGCAAGAGGGAAUCCUGAUGGCCAGAAGGAACACUGGAACUGCAGCACAUGGCACAGAACAGCAGAGGGAAAGCCCGUGACGGCCAGAAGAGAACCGUACCGCGCGUGCUCAGGCUCGUGUCCAGCCGGCUUCUCCUGGAGGACCAGGGCGGUAACACGAGACUCACUUCGCCAGCCUCAGGAAGAGUUUGUUCUUUAGACACCCGUUGCUUUAAGCAGCCUGUCAAAUUGAUUCAGACAUUCAAGAUAUUCUGCUGCUUACUGAAGAAUGCAUUACCAGUGAUGAAGGACUCUUAUUUUACUCUUCCUUGCAUGAUACACUGGGGAGAUUAUUUCUGAGUGAGUGAAAGAGCUGCCAGACACCAUCUCCUGGAAAUGCCUGGUAAGAGAAAAGCAGCAAACUUUGAAAAAGAGAUCUGCCAUCCUGCAUCAAAUCAGCCACCCCCAACCUGGGCUCCUCAUACUGACUCGUUUAAAGAAGUUCAUUUCCUAUAAUAAAGCUGGUCUACGAGUGCUACAUUUCUUCAGCUUUGUUUGUCUGGAAACCUCUUUAUCUUUCAAUUCUGAGGGACAACUUUGCUGGAUAGAGUAUUUUGGUUGGUAAUUUUUUUUUUUCUGUUCCUACUUUGUAGGUUUGUAGGCCAGAAGGGAGUUUUGUGAUAGCUUCAAAGUUUCUGGUAAAAAAAA